GCUCCUGUGGCCUAAUGGUACAGCAUCCACCUUUGAUGUGGGAGGUCGCGGGUUCGAACCCAGGCUGAUUCA